CGAGUGUCUCUAGAAGGUCAUAUAUCAGGUAAAUGCCACCAUUUUGCCUCUUAAUAUGCAUGAUUGAGGCCACUUGCCCAACUCCUGAGAUCUUAUCAGGAGGCAGCUGAUCACCAGUUUCAGGUGUUUUCUAUCUAUUGCCUUUCCCUAGCCCUAGCUGCAACCAAUUAUUAAAGUAGUUUUAACAACCACCUAACCAUCACCUCAUGGUCACCUGACAUUCAUGGUGGGGGUGGGGGGCGCUCCUCUCCUGCCCUGCUCGUGUCUGACUAGCUACCUACUAUAACAAAACCACUCUGCUUCUGGAAGUUAUAGUCAAGGGAACCCAGGACCUGACAAGCCUGCAAAAAGGGAAAGAGUUUCUUACCAAUCAGAUUCCUGGGUGUCUUUCUGUGGAAUCUAGUCAAGCAGAAGGACUUCAAAAUCUUCUGAAAUAUACCUUCACAAACCCUUUGGGAGAUUUCAAAGAAACAGGUAAGCCCAUCUCAUGUUUUCCCUAUGCACACACACACACACACACACAUAAUCCUGUUUUAAAUUAAUGUAAAGACCUACUGUGUUGGAGAGAAGAAAGAGAGAUGUCAUAAAUGGCAACCUACUAGUGCAAAGGAAGGUCAACACUGUGGUCUGGGACCCAGGCAGCCCUGGCCCUGGUCCCACAAGACUUGCUUUAUGUUUUGUUUUGUUUUCAGCCCUUCAAGCCACACGUCUUUGCUCCGACAGGCUGCAUUUCUGUAGUUCUGUUUACAUGUGAUGCUUGCAGUUGGGAGACUUGCAAAAUACCAAGGCCUGAAAAAGCACUAAGAGUUGCUUCACCUUAAGAACAGCUGUGAAAAUUCAAGAGCUAAUCGUGAAGCUCCUUCUCUUUAUUGCAACCAGUUGUUCUGCUUCUCUAGGCGCUACCUUGCUACUCAAAGCAUGGUCCAGCCGCAUUGCCAUCACCUGGGAGCUUGUUAAAAAUGGCCCAACCUCUGACCUCUAAAUCAGUAUCUUCAUUUUAACAAGAUCCCCAGGUGGUCCAAUUGCACUUUAAAUUUGGAGCAGCACUGAUCCCAAAAUGUGUUCAGCUCCUGUCUACG
rnacentral:lncRNA from 1 species